rnacentral:rRNA from 1 species
GAUGAACGCUGGCGGCGUGCCUAAUACAUGCAAGUCGAGCGAACAGACGAGGAGCUUGCUCCUCUGACGUUAGCGGCGGACGGGUGAGUAACACGUGGAUAACCUACCUAUAAGACUGGGAUAACCUCGGGAAACCGGAGCUAAUACCGGAUAAUAUAUUGAACCGCAUGGUUCAAUAGUGAAAGACGGUUUUGCUGUCACUUAUAGAUGGAUCCGCGCCGCAUUAGCUAGUUGGUAAGGUAACGGCUUACCAAGGCGACGAUGCGUAGCCGACCUGAGAGGGUGAUCGGCCACACUGGAACUGAGACACGGUCCAGACUCCUACGGGAGGCAGCAGUAGGGAAUCUUCCGCAAUGGGCGAAAGCCUGACGGAGCACCGCCGCGUGAGUGAUGAAGGUCUUCGGAUCGUAAAACUCUGUUAUUAGGGAAGAACAAAUGUGUAAGUAACUAUGCACGUCUUGACGGUACCUAAUCAGAAAGCCACGGCUAACUACGUG